rnacentral:rRNA from 1 species
GACGAACGCUGGCGGCGUGCCUAAUACAUGCAAGUCGAGCGAAGUGGAGAGAGCUUGCUCUCAAAGCUUAGCGGCGAACGGGUGAGUAACACGUGGGCAACCUGCCUGACAGACCGGGAUAACUUGGGGAAACUCAAGCUAAUACCGGAUAUGAUCGCAAGCCGCAUGGAUUGCGAUGGAAAGUCUGAACGACACUGUCAGAUGGGCCCGCGGCGCAUUAGCUAGUUGGUGGGGUAAUGGCCUACCAAGGCGACGAGGCGUAGCCGACCUGAGAGGGUGACCGGCCACACUGGGACUGAGACACGGCCCAGACUCCUACGGGAGGCAGCAGUAGGGAAUCUUCCACAAUGGGCGAAAGCCUGAUGGAGCAACGCCGCGUGAGUGAUGAAGGUUUUCGGAUCGUAAAACUCUGUUGUUAGGGAAGAACACCCGGGAGAGGAUCCCGGUUUGACGGUACCUAACGAGGAAGCCCCGGCUAACUACGUGCCAGCCGCCGCCGUAA